CUUAGCUUUACUCCAAGACGUACGUACAGGGCAAGUAAUAAGAAAAUUAAAUUUGCUAAUAAAAUUAUGUACCUAGCUACUUGUAUGAAUCGACAACCGCCUACGACCGAGCUGAGUCAAGUAUAUGGCACAGAGACUCUAUAUAAAUUGGAUCAUUGAGAAUAAAAUAAUGAUCCAUGCAUGCCUGCAGAGCCUACAACGUUAAUUAGAAACAAUGGCAAGAUACUAUGCUAUGGUGGACAACGGUGCAGCCUCUUUGGCGGGGUCGGGUUUUUUUAUUAUGAUAGGUAUGGUUGUAAUGUCUGUCAUAAUGAUUUCUAUGGUUAUCUUUGCUUGCGGUGACUCUAAAAAUGGGGAUAAUCGGCGUCGUACUGGUUAUGGUGGCGCUGAUUUCGUUAGAGGAGGAAGUGGUUGUUGAAGGAGGAAGCAU